UAACACAUGCAAGUCGAGCGGGGACAUGCGACGGAUAGGAAGAUUCGGUUGGAAUUGAAGAUGCAUUGUUCUAGCGGCGGACGGGUGAGUAACGCGUGAGCAACCUGUCCCUUACAGGGGGAUAACACAGCGAAAGUUGUACUAAUACCGCAUGAGACCACGGGAGGACAUCCUCCAGGGGUCAAAAGGAGGAAUCCGGUAAGGGGUGGGCUCGCGUCCGAUUAGAUAGUUGGUGAGGUAACGGCCCACCAAGUCGACGAUCGGUAGCCGACCUGAGAGGGUGAUCGGCCACAUUGGGACUGAGACACGGCCCAAACUCCUACGGGAGGCAGCAGUGGGGAAUAUUGGGCAAAUGGGGGAAACCCUGACCCAGCAACGCCGCGUGAGGGAAGAAGGUUUUCGGAUCGUAAACCUCUGUCCUUGGUGAAGAGGAAGAGACGGUAGCCAAGGAGGAAGCCCCGGCUAACUACGUGCCAGCCGCCGC
rnacentral:rRNA from 1 species